rnacentral:rRNA from 1 species
CCUCAGUAACGGCGAGUGAAGCGGGAAAAGCCCAGCGCCGAAUCCGCUAGCCAUUGGCUUGUUGGAACUGUGGCGUUUAGGGGCUCAUUUGCUAUGACUUACUGGUGCCGAAGUCUUCCUGAUCGUGGCAUAACCCAUAGAGGGUGUUAGGCCUGUAAAGGCACCGGUGGUCGAUGCUGUGACGCUCCUGGGAGUCGGGUUGUUUGUGACUGCAGCCCUAAGUGGCUGGUAGACACCAGCUAAGGCUAAAUACGGGCACGAGUCCGAUAGCGAACAAGUACCGUGAGGGACAGGUGAAAAGCACUUUGAAGAGAGAGUUCAACAGUACGUGAAACCGUUUAGAGGCAAACGGAUGGAUCCGGAAAAUUGCUUGGAAGAUUCAGUUGACGCGUGUUCGGUUAUGGUGAUGUGUUGAUCGUUUGACUCUGUCGCCUUAUGCCGAAGGUGCGUUCAGCGCACUUCUUGCAGGCAAUCGCCGCGACCAAUUUUGCACAAGUGAGGCAGAAGGGCCUGGUAGGCUUGCCUUUCUUAGGCGAGCUGUUAAGGCCUUUCUUGUACACGUUGUGUAAGAUUGAGGAUGUUACUGUACGCACUGUUUGCUGCUCGGGCAUGUUGUAUUUUGUCGCAUAGACGUGGGUCGACUGUUUACAGUGGUCUCAAACCUUGCGGCAAUUGUGCAAUUUUGUCUCGAGUCGUACAGCGGUCUGCGGUGUUGAUGUGGGCAUCCAUCUGACCCGUCUUGAAACACGGACCAAGGAGUCUAACAUGUACGCGAGCUAUGGGGAUUUGAAACCCAAAGGCGUAAUGAAAGUAAAGGCCUUUAGUGGCAUGUUGUGGGAUCCUGCUCGUUGCGGGCGCACCACAAACCCGUUCCUUUCCUGCGUGGAUGGGGCGGUGUUUGAGCGUACACGUUGGGACCCGAAAGAUGGUGAACUAUGGCUGGUUAGGAUGAAGCCAGAGGAAACUCUGGUGGAGGUCCGUAGCGAUUCUGACGUG